rnacentral:lncRNA from 1 species
GAAUUUUCAUUUGGAUUGGUACUUCUGAAGUUGUUGAUAUUUGCUUUGAAAUUUCCUCCUUGCGUCUUUGGUUUGAAAAAUUGUUUGCCUUUGUUGAAGUUGUUGUUUGUCUUCAUAAAAGCUUUGCCAUAUUUUCUUUCUUUUCUUUGAAUUACUCGUCUGAGUUAUCUGGACAGUAGAGCAACUUCGUUGUUGUCUAGACUAAGAAGUUCUUCAUUUAAUUCUUCAUCGUCACUUUCUUGAUCCACCAGGAGAGCUUUGAAGGAGAUUCCUUUCUUUUUGAGAUCUAUGUCUGAUCCAGUUUUCUCAACGAACAUAUCGACUUCGUGGGCACGAAGAUUUCCAAUGAGAUUAUCCAUAGGAUAUGUGGUUAGAUCUUGCAUUUCUUUUAUU